CUUUCCCUUCGGGGACAGAGUGACAGGUGGUGCAUGGUUGUCGUCAGCUCGUGUCGUGAGAUGUUGGGUUAAGUCCCGCAACGAGCGCAACCCUUGAUCUUAGUUGCCAGCAUUCAGUUGGGCACUCUAAGGUGACUGCCGGUGACAAACCGGAGGAAGGUGGGGAUGACGUCAAAUCAUCAUGCCCCUUAUGACCUGGGCUACACACGUGCUACAAUGGACAGAACAAAGGGCUGCGAGACCGCAAGGUUUAGCCAAUCCCACAAAUCUGUUCUCAGUUCGGAUCGCAGUCUGCAACUCGACUGCGUGAAGCUGGAAUCGCUAGUAAUCGCGGAUCAGCAUGCCGCGGUGAAUACGUUCCCGGGCCUUGUACACACCGCCCGUCACACCACGAGAGUUUGCAACACCCGAAGUCGGUGAGGUAACCUUUAUGGAGCCAGCCGCCGAAGGUGGGGCAGAUGAUUGGGGUGAAGU
rnacentral:rRNA from 1 species